rnacentral:rRNA from 1 species
UACGAAGGGGGCUAGCGUUGUUCGGAAUUACUGGGCGUAAAGCGCGUGUAGGCGGGUCUUUAAGUCAGGGGGGAAAUGCCGGGGCUCAACCUUGGAACUGCCUUUGAUACUGGGGACCUUGAGCCCGGGAGAGGUGAGUGGAAUUGCGAGUGUAGAGGUGAAAUUCGUAGAUAUUCGCAAGAACACCAGUGGCGAAGGCGGCUCACUGGCCCGGAACUGACGCUGAGACGCGAAAGCGUGGGGAGCAAACAGG